rfam:Pseudomonas oryzihabitans strain TSDA-ARS-TSMARC-56511, complete genome.
UACAUCAGCGGCGCAGGAUGCGCAGCCCUGAGGUCACGGAUGAAGACCAGGCCAGGAUGGCGCCUGACAGGACGUUGGGAUGGUCGCAACAAACAACCCGCUUCGGCGGGUUUUUU